rnacentral:RNase_P_RNA from 1 species
GAGAGGAAGCGAGACGAUCGCUGCCGAGCAAUCGGGAGAGGAAAGUCCGGACUUCGUAGGAAGAGAUACCAGGUAACGACUGGGGAGCGCAAGCUCACGGAAAGUGCAACAGAAACUACCUCGCCAUUUGAAAGAAUGGACAGACUGAAACGUUCGGCGUUAGGCGCUGAUCGCACCCCGGGUAACCGGGGGCGUUGUAAACCCUAUCUGAAGCAAGGCUGAAUAUGAGCCGCCUGAGCGCCUUCCCCGCGAGGCUCAAAGCUAGCCGCCAGAGAGACUUGGUGACAGGUCUCCUAGAGGAAUGAUCGUUCACGACAGAAUCCGGCUUACUGCUUCCUCUCAACC